rnacentral:rRNA from 2 species
GAACCGCAUGGUUCAAGGAUGAAAGACGGUUUCGGCUGUCACUUACAGAUGGACCCGCGGCGCAUUAGCUAGUUGGUGGGGUAAUGGCUCACCAAGGCGACGAUGCGUAGCCGACCUGAGAGGGUGAUCGGCCACACUGGGACUGAGACACGGCCCAGACUCCUACGGGAGGCAGCAGUAGGGAAUCUUCCGCAAUGGACGAAAGUCUGACGGAGCAACGCCGCGUGAGUGAUGAAGGUUUUCGGAUCGUAAAGCUCUGUUGUUAGGGAAGAACAAGUGCGAGAGUAACUGCUCGCACCUUGACGGUACCUAACCAGAAAGCCACGGCUAACUACGUGCCAGCAGCCGCGGUAAUACGUAGGUGGCAAGCGUUGUCCGGAAUUAUUGGGCGUAAAGGGCUCGCAGGCGGUUUCUUAAGUCUGAUGUGAAAGCCCCCGGCUCAACCGGGGAGGGUCAUUGGAAACUGGGAAACUUGAGUGCAGAAGAGGAGAGUGGAAUUCCACGUGUAGCGGUGAAAUGCGUAGAGAUGUGGAGGAACACCAGUGGCGAAGGCGACUCUCUGGUCUGUAACUGACGCUGAGGAGCGAAAGCGUGGGGAGCGAACAGGAUUAGAUACCCUGGUAGUCCACGCCGUAAACGAUGAGUGCUAAGUGUUAAGGGGGUUUCCGCCCCUUAGUGCUGCAGCUAACGCAUUAAGCACUCCGCCUGGGGAGUACGGUCGCAAGACUGAAACUCAAAGGAAUUGACGGGGGCCCGCACAAGCGGUGGAGCAUGUGGUUUAAUUCGAAGCAACGCGAAGAACCUUACCAGGUCUUGACAUCCUCUGACAACCCUAGAGAUAGGGCUUUCCCUUCGGGGACAGAGUGACAGGUGGUGCAUGGUUGUCGUCAGCUCGUGUCGUGAGAUGUUUGGGUUAAGUCCCGCAACGAGCGCAACCCUUGAUCUUAGUUGCCAGCAUUCAGUUGGGCACUCUAAGGUGACUGCCGGUGACAACCCGGA